UACGGAGGGGGCGAGCGUUGUCCGAAGUUACUGGGCGUAAAGCGCGCGUAGGCGGGGAGCCAAGUCCGCUGUGAAAGCCUGAGGCUUAACCUCAGCGGGUCGGUGGAUACUGGUUCUCUUGAAGGCGUUAGGGGGAGAUGGAAUUACCGGUGUAGCGGUGUAAUGCGUAGAUAUCGGUAGGAACACCAGUGGCGAAGGCGGUCUCCUGGGACGUUCUUGACGCUGAGGCGCGAAAGCUGGGGGAGCGAACGGG
rnacentral:misc_RNA from 1 species